UCUAGAAUCCAACAAUCUUCUCAUUUCAUCUUGGGAUUCUAGUAUUAGGUUGGUGGAUGUGGAAAGCAGUAAGCUUAGAUUAGAAGUUCAAACAGAAGCUGCAGUACUUGAUUGCUGUUUUCAGAAUGCGUUUCUUUCUUUCUCUGUUGCUUCUGAUGGAUCCAUUUUCAGGUAGUUUUUUUCCCUGAAAAUUUGGUUUUUUGUUGAAAUUUGGGCUUAAUAUUAUUCAAGGGUUGCUUAAUGAAAUUGUAAUUAUUAUCCAAUUUAUUACCCAGUUCAUGGGAGCAGUCGAAAUUUACCUAAAAAGGUAAGAAAGAAUGAAAAUCGAAGGAAGACAAUGAGAAAGGGAGAGAAUGUAGGAGAGAUAAGGAGGAACUUAAGGUGGAAUUGUACUCUUAGUAUCCCUAUGGUUUACAGCCAGUUGUACCCUUUUGAAGGUUUGUUGAAUUAUACUUCAGGAAUCAUUCAUCAUGUUAGACUUGAAGGUAUGAAACUAUGAAUUCAACUAUUUAUUUUAAUUUGCUUGAGUUGUUUGUAAUUUUGAUUAGUUUUUAUCAAUUUGUUUAUAUGGUUGUCCUUUUGAUGAAUCUUUGAAUUUGUUUUUUAAAUGAAUUUGGUGCAUAAAAUCUACUUUUUUUUUGUAGUAGUAAUUAAUGAUUAUCUGUCUUGGUUUAUUCAGCUGAUAGAUUUUGAAAGUUAAAGUUUCUGAUUUUUAUGGGUUACCGGUAAAAUAGACCUACACUUUUGAGGGCUGGUUUUACUCUAGAAAUAUGAUGUAUUGUUCAAUGAGGUAAUGAAGUUCCAUCUUCUCUGAUUUCCUGGUCUUUAGCUGAAUAUUAAUGUCAGUAACAACUAAAGCUUGUGAAAUAUCAAAAUGUAUCUGUUGAAUAACAUAAUUAGUCAAGUUCAUGUGUUUGCAAUAGAAUAUUAUUCCAUGUCCUUGCAAUUCGCAGGAUAUAAUUCCCCUUUUGUCUUGCACCAAUUCACCCAAUCAUAUUUACAUAUUUAAUAGCAGUUUCUUUUUUAUAUCGUUGGACUCUGUUAUCAUACGUGUUCUCAUAUUUUAUUUUUGUAAUUAUAUGCUUAAGGCAAUAAGGCCUCUGAGCCGUCAAAAGGAAGCCUUUACUUCUCUUAAUGCUUAAUUAAUUCUACAUUACAGUAGUCUUCAUGUAUGUGUUUAAUGUCCUGCAGUGGCUCCAUCAAUCAUUUCGAACUAAGUAGUAAUUAUUGUGCAUUUAUUGAUCCAACUAUCUAAUCUUUUGAAUUUUGCCACCAAUUUAGGUAUAUAUUCUUUUUUCAGGCAGCUUAUAGAAUGGAUAUGCUCCUAAAAGCUUUAUUCAUCUUGACAUUGGCAGUAAUAUUAAUCAAUUCUACUAAUCACUCAGCUAAGUCUUCUCUCUCCAUUUUUAGUUUUUAUUGAAUUAUUUUAAUUUUAUCUUAUUUAGGUUAGUUGUAUUGGAAAAUAUAUUUGGAUGCCAGCAACUGUGAUUUGUUGUUGGCCGGGGGUAUUAUAUAUGCUUGGUUGCGUUUAGUGAUGUGAAGUUCACUGUUGGUGUUGGGAGUGUGAUUAUGAUAUGAUAUUGAUUAUGAUUAUGAGAUUGUUAUGUUGAUUAUAUAUGUCUAUGAUAUUGAUUGAGAUUAUGAUUAUGAGAUAGUUAUGAUAUUGAUUAUGCUUAUGCUUAUGCUUAUGAUGAUGAUUAUGAUUAUUAGAUUGUUAUGUUGAUGAAUAUGCUUAUGUUGAUGAUUGAGAAAAUGUUGGUGAUUUGAGAAUGAUUUAAUUAAUGGCUAUAAUAUUGUUACGUUAAAUGUUAUGAUAAUGUUGGGGAUUUGAGAAUGAUUUACUUGAUGGCUAUAAGAUUGUUGUGUUAAUGAUUAUGAUAAUGUUGGUGAUUUGUCCUUGAUGUACUUGAUGGCUAUAAGAUUGUUAUGCUAAUGGGUAUGAUAAUGAUGGUGAUUUAAGAAUGAUUUACUUGAUGGUUAAUAGGGUAUAUAUAACCUUAAGUGAAUACAAUUUGCUCUGUAUUAUGGGGGUAUACAGUUUGUUUGCAUCAAUGAUGUGUGUCCAAAAAAUGAGAUUUUCAUCCCAAUUUCUAGUCAACACUAUUUGCCAUUAGAUUCCAAUCAUGUGAAAUGGUUGUUGAGACUUUUAGGCAGAAGUUUUGACUAUGUUAGGGGUUGAUGAUUAGUUACACAGUUACACUAGGAUAAUCCAUAUGAUGAAGGGACUCACUUUCAUACUUCUCACUGUGAUUUGCUCCGGUUUGUCCGUUGAGGUAACACAGUUUGAGAAGUUUUGGAUAAAAAAACCCUUGAUGGAUUCAUGAAUUAUUCAUUUUUUUAUAUAUUUGUACCAUUAUUUUGUGACUUAAAAUUUAAUUCAAAUUAAAAUAUUUUGAAUUCAAUUAAUCCUACUAUUUACAUUAAAAAAAAAACAAAAUUAAUCAAUGAUAAAUAUCCUGAUCAAGCUACUCAUAUAUAUCAAUCUCAAGGUUAAAUGAGCACCGAAAUAGGUAGUUUAAUCGCUACUCUUUCUUGAUUUUUAUGUUAAAUUUGGAUACUUGCAUGAAGAAUAUAAUGCAACAGGCAAGUCAUUCAUAGGGAUGUUAAAGACUUGUAAUGUGAUGCUUGAUUUGGAUUUUAACCCUAAACUUGGUGAUUUUGGAUUGGUUGAGGUCUAUGACCGAGAUUCUAGUUUGAGGAAACCAACUAUUCUAGCUAAGACAAUGGGGUACUUAGCCCCGGAGUAUCUUCACUGAUUAAGGUACAAGUUUCUAUAGGAGAUUAGUGUUCUUAAGCCAUGAUUUCGGAUGUUAGUUAGUUUGUCCUAGUCUUAGAUUUUCUUUAUUUCUACCAGAAUUUUUUAUUGCAGUUCGGCAUCAAGUCUACUAUCAUGGUUUAUAUUUGCUUGAUGAUUUCAUUUAUGAACACCUAAUCAUGUGAAUAAGCAUUCUCAAGUGAAACCUGAAGUAACCUGUCUUUGUAGCAUGCUUCUGCUUUCCUGCAAAGUACCCUGAAGUAAGGGAUGAUUUAACUUGUAAAAGUUACCCAGAUUGCUUAGAGUUUUUGAAUGAACUAGUUUAUAUAAUUGCUACUUCUAUAUGUUUGCAGUGUAAUGAAUAAUGAUUGCUGAUGGUAGUAACUAGUAUAAAAUUCUUAUUAUUAAUGCAUAUUUUGAUGAUGUAAACAUAUACGGUUAAAGUUAUGUACAGUAUAUAUGUUAUUUUCUGAGGAUCAUUUGUUUGAAUAUGCUUGAUAAUCUGUUAAGUGUAUGAAAUCCGAAUCGGGUUCAUCUGAUCUGAAUUGUGGAAGAAAUAAUUAAAAGAGUUCAUUUGUUACAGAAAUGUAAGAUUCUUAAAAAUGAAGAGGGAUAUAUAUGAUCAGAUUAAUUAUUUCUUAACUUAAUUUGUGAAUUCUGGAUCAUUUGAUUGAUCAUAGCUUGUUGCAUAUGUAUAAUAAUGAAGCAUUUGAACUUUAAAUUUCUCUGAACUAUGAAGCAGAAACUAAUUUUUAUUGUUGGGAUAUUGUAGUUUGCAUCAUUCAUGUGAGGUGAUCAAACAAAUUUCUAGCAAUAGGCAGAGGCAUUUCGCCGCUAGAAUUAUAGUUGUAUGAUGAGAUCGGUCUCACAACUUAUUUUUGCUGCAAUCAGCAGGUCUUGAGACGACUUAUUCAAAAGAGUUGAGGUCUAAGGCUUCUAAGCAUAAACAUGCAAUAAGUUGAUUCAGUGUAUGCCUUACUAACUAGCCAACAAAUUUUGUCAAACGAAUUCCUUGCCGACUCAUAAAAUAUCAUAUUAGCAUUUUUAUUUUAGGAGGGAUUGUAUUUGGUGUUUUUGAUGAUGAAGCAGUUUUUUCUUCUAUUACUCGUAUAUGGAUAUCUUCCUUUGUCUUAUUAGGAUUGCAUGUGGUGUUUUUGAUGAUGAAGCCAGUCUUUUCUUUUAUUAUAUGGAUGUUUUCUUUUGUCUUAUUUUACAAACAUUUAAUUUUCUAUUGCUAUCAUGAUACAAAGUGCCAUUUUAUUAUUAACUACUACCUUCGUUCCAUGAAUUGCUAUCUACUUUCUGUUUUGGUCCAUUUCAUGAAUUUCGUACUCACUUGACAUCUUUCCUUUCUCGGUAAAUCUUAUAUAAUUUAGAUUUUUUGGACCACACAUUCUCUCUUAUCCAAGUAUUUCUUUUCCUUUGAAAUUUAUUUAACCCUCACUUUGACCUUAUCUGUUUCUAUCUUGGAUUUUCGUACCGCUGUUAGUUGUUACUUGUAGCGUAUGGGCUCUGACCUUAUUUAGCUUUGUCCACACCUUUAGAUUUAUGAACUCGCAAUACACUGUCUCUAAGAAGGAGAGAGGGAAAACCAAUGGAUGAUAAGAAGCUAUGUUACUAAGUGUCAGACUUAGCUGCUUUAUGAAAGAUUUUGGAUGAUUUUGGUCCGUAAUGUGAUAAUAAAUUGUCUACACACUUAUUUUAGUGUCAAGUACCUAGCAUUCAACACGAUAUAAAAUGAGGUGUCUGAAUAGUACGGGUUGUUGGCCAUGUGGUCCAAGUGAUUGAAGUUCUUUUACUUUCUUUCAGAAAAGAAUGCUGCAUCUAGUUUAGACUAUGGGUCUGAUGUUUCUCUUUAGGGAUCAUGCAACUCUAUGGUUCUUUAUUAGGUUAUUUUGUUGCAUAUAGUUUCCAGUAUCCAUGUUAUGCUCUUAGAAAAAUCACCUUGCUGAAUGGAUUUUUUUCUUCUAAUUUAUUAACACAGAUUCCAACAAAUACAUUUUUUUAAGCAGUAGCAGAAUAGCAAUAGCAGAACAGCAAAGCAAUGCAAGCAGUAGCAGAAUAGCAAUAGCAGAACAGCAAGCAGAACACAAAGUAGCAGAAGCAGAACAAUAGUAGCAGAAGCAGUAGCAGAACAGCAGUAGCAGUAGCAGUAGCAGAAGCAGAACAGCAGUAGUUAUGAUAUCCUGGGCAGCUUUUAUAAUUAUCUUGUUGACAUGCACUAUCGUUCACAACAUUGUAGCACCAGGCCCAGCAAAACAGCUAUAUGUUUUUUUUUUCAGUUUUUAAAGUGUAAUAUUACAAGUUAUUGA